rnacentral:rRNA from 1 species
CAGUAGCCACGGUAAUACGUAGGUCCCGAGCGUUGUCCGGAUUUAUUGGGCGUAAAGGGAGCGCAGGCGGUUUAGUAAGUCUGAAGUUAAAGGCAUUGGCUCAACCAAUGUAUGCUUUGGAAACUGUUAGACUUGAGUGCAGAAGGGGAGAGUGGAAUUCCAUGUGUAGCGGUGAAAUGCGUAGAUAUAUGGAGGAACACCGGUGGCGAAAGCGGCUCUCUGGUCUGUCACUGACGCUGAGGCUCGAAAGCGUGGGUAGCGAACAGGAUUAGAUACCCCAGUAGUCCCUGUCUCUUAUACA